rnacentral:rRNA from 1 species
UCUGUAGCAAGGUUAACCGAAUAGGGGAGCCGGAGGGAAACCGAGUCUUAAUUGGGCGUUAAGUUGCAGGGUAUAGACCCGAAACCCGGUGAUCUAGCCAUGGGCAGGUUGAAGGUUGGGUAACACUAACUGGAGGACCGAACCGACUAAUGUUGAAAAAUUAGCGGAUGACCUGUGGCUGGGGGUGAAAGGCCAAUCAAACCGGGAGAUAGCUGGUUCUCCCCGAAAGCUAUUUAGGUAGCGCCUCGUGAAUUCAUCUCCGGGGGUAGAGCACUGUUUCGGCUAGGGGGCCAUCCCGGCUUACCAACCCGAUGCAAACUGCGAAUACCGGAGAAUGUUAUCACGGGAGACACACGGCGGGUGCUAACGUCCGUCGUGAAGAGGGAAACAACCCAGACCGCCAGCUAAGGUCCCAAAGUCAUGGUUAAGUGGGAAACGAUGUGGGAAGGCCCAGACAGCCAGGAUGUUGGCUUAGAAGCAGCCAUCAUUUAAAGAAAGCGUAAUAGCUCACUGGUCGAGUCGGCCUGCGCGGAAGAUGUAACGGGGCUAAACCAUGCACCGAAGCUGCGGCAGCGACACUGUGUGUUGUUGGGUAGGGGAGCGUUCUGUAAGCCUGUGAAGGUGUGUCGUGAGGCAUGCUGGAGGUAUCAGAAGUGCGAAUGCUGACAUAAGUAACGAUAAAGCGGGUGAAAAGCCCGCUCGCCGGAAGACCAAGGGUUCCUGUCCAACGUUAAUCGGGGCAGGGUGAGUCGACCCCUAAGGCGAGGCCGAAAGGCGUAGUCGAUGGGAAACGGGUUAAUAUUCCCGUACUUGGUGUUACUGCGAAGGGGGGACGGAGAAGGCUAUGUUGGCCGGGCGACGGUUGUCCCGGUUUAAGCGUGUAGGUGUGUGUUCCAGGUAAAUCCGGUUCACUUUAACACUGAGGCGUGACGACGAGGCACUACGGUGCUGAAGCAACAAAUGCCCUGCUUCCAGGAAAAGCCUCUAAGCAUCAGGUAACAUCAAAUCGUACCCCAAACCGACACAGGUGGUCAGGUAGAGAAUACCAAGGCGCUUGAGAGAACUCGGGUGAAGGAACUAGGCAAAAUGGUGCCGUAACUUCGGGAGAAGGCACGCUGACACGUAGGUGAAGUGAUUUACUCAUGGAGCUGAAGUCAGUCGAAGAUACCAGCUGGCUGCAACUGUUUAUUAAAAACACAGCACUGUGCAAACACGAAAGUGGACGUAUACGGUGUGACGCCUGCCCGGUGCCGGAAGGUUAAUUGAUGGGGUCAGCGCAAGCGAAGCUCCUGAUCGAAGCCCCGGUAAACGGCGGCCGUAACUAUAACGGUCCUAAGGUAGCGAAAUUCCUUGUCGGGUAAGUUCCGACCUGCACGAAUGGCGUAAUGAUGGCCAGGCUGUCUCCACCCGAGACUCAGUGAAAUUGAACUCGCUGUGAAGAUGCAGUGUACCCGCGGCAAGACGGAAAGACCCCGUGAACCUUUACUAUAGCUUGACACUGAACAUUGAGCCUUGAUGUGUAGGAUAGGUGGGAGGCUUUGAAGUGUGGACGCCAGUCUGCAUGGAGCCGACCUUGAAAUACCACCCUUUAAUGUUUGAUGUUCUAACGUGGACCCGUUACCCGGGUUGCGGACAGUGUCUGGUGGGUAGUUUGACUGGGGCGGUCUCCUCCUAAAGAGUAACGGAGGAGCACGAAGGUUGGCUAAUCCUGGUCGGACAUCAGGAGGUUAGUGCAAUGGCAUAAGCCAGCUUGACUGCGAGCGUGACGGCGCGAGCAGGUGCGAAAGCAGGUCAUAGUGAUCCGGUGGUUCUGAAUGGAAGGGCCAUCGCUCAACGGAUAAAAGGUACUCCGGGGAUAACAGGCUGAUACCGCCCAAGAGUUCAUAUCGACGGCGGUGUUUGGCACCUCGAUGUCGGCUCAUCACAUCCUGGGGCUGAAGUAGGUCCCAAGGGUAUGGCUGUUCGCCAUUUAAAGUGGUACGCGAGCUGGGUUUAGAACGUCGUGAGACAGUUCGGUCCCUAUCUGCCGUGGGCGCUGGAGAACUGAGGGGGGCUGCUCCUAGUACGAGAGGACCGGAGUGGACGCAUCACUGGUGUUCGGGUUGUCAUGCCAAUGGCACUGCCCGGUAGCUAAAUGCGGAAGAGAUAAGUGCUGAAAGCAUCUAAGCACGAAACUUGCCCCGA